GACGAGGGAUCCUAGCGUUGCUCGGAAUCAUUGGGCGUAAAGCGGGUGUAGGUGGCUUGGUAAGUCGGGUGUGAAAGCCCAGGGCUCAACCCUGGAAGUGCAUUCGAUACUGCUAAGCUUGAGUGCUAGAGAGGUUAAUAGAAUACCUGGUGUAGUGGUGAAAUACGUAGAUAUCAGGUGGAACACCGGAGGCGAAGGCGGUUAACUGGCUAGACACUGACACUGAGACCCGAAAGUGCGGGGAUCAAACAGG
rnacentral:rRNA from 1 species